GGCUACAGAACGAACGCUGGCGGCAGGCUUAACACAUGCAAGUCGAGCGCCCCGCAAGGGGAGCGGCGGACGGGUGAGUAACGCGUGGGAACGUACCCUUUGCUACGGAAUAGCCUCGGGAAACUGGGAGUAAUACCGUAUGUGCCCUUCGGGGGAAAGAUUUAUCGGCAAAGGAUCGGCCCGCGUUGGAUUAGGUAGUUGGUGGGGUAAUGGCCUACCAAGCCGACGAUCCAUAGCUGGUUUGAGAGGAUGAUCAGCCACACUGGGACUGAGACACGGCCCAGACUCCUACGGGAGGCAGCAGUGGGGAAUCUUAGACAAUGGGCGCAAGCCUGAUCUAGCCAUGCCGCGUGAGCGAUGAAGGCCUUAGGGUUGUAAAGCUCUUUCAGUGGGGAAGAUAAUGACUGUACCCACAGAAGAAGCCCCGGCUAACUCCGUG
rnacentral:rRNA from 1 species